AUCUGAAGUCUGACGAGGAUGAGAACCUCCGGGGGCAAGAGGUUCGACCCGAGCGAAGCGAGAGAACGUUGCGUCAGCAACGGCCCGCAGGGCGAGCCAUCCUCUAUCACCGGCA
rnacentral:sRNA from 1 species